UACGGGGGGGGCAAGCGUUGUUCGGAAUUACUGGGCGUAAAGGGUGCGUAGGCGGCUUUCUAAGUCGGAUGUGAAAACUCUGGGCUCAACCCAGAGCCCGCAUCCGAAACUGGAGAGCUAUGGUUCUGGAGGGGAAAGCGGAAUUCCUGGUGUAGCGGUGAAAUGCGUAGAUAUCAGGAGGAACACCGGUGGCGAAGGCGGCUUUCUGGACAGAUACCGACGCUGAGGCACGAAAGCUAGGGGAGCAAACAGG
rnacentral:rRNA from 1 species